rnacentral:rRNA from 1 species
UGGUGGAGUGAUUUGUCUGGUUAAUUCCGUUAACGAACGAGACCUCGACCUGCUAAAUAGUUCUAGUCAUCUUCCGAUGGCUGGAUACUUCUUAGAGGGACUAUCGGUGGUUAGCCGAUGGAAGUUCGAGGCAAUAACA